GGUCAGAUGAGUGGGAACAAUUGCACAGCACUUAGCGUCACUAUUGUGAGGUCUUGCGGAAUGUUGCUAUUUCCUUUACAGGUUCCAGGAAGAUGUUGACAAAGGUGUCCUUGCUCUGCCUCGUACAGCAGUGUAGGGUCCUUCCUCCCUGGGCCCUCUUCCUCUUCUUUUUCUCCAUUGUUGAGUGGAGGCUAGGCACAAGGGGGAGAGUCUUUUCCAGCAUACUGGAGUUGCUCUUAGUAGAGGCUAAAUUUUAAAAUGUAAGGUAGGAAGGGGAGGAAUCUACAGCACAACUGUAGUGUUCUUGGCAAAAGGAACAGCAACAAGACCUACUUCAGCAAACCAGGAUUCUUUUCCCAAAGACCUGUGGCCUGUCGGGCAUUCUCAGUCACUUCAGAGUGGAAGGACCAUGGUGGAGCCUGGCAUGACAAGCCUGCCCGUCUUACCCAGCCAUGAUUUGCAUCUAGGAUGGGAAGUCCAUGAAGAAGACAUAGCAUGGGAAUUGUGACAGAAGGAACAAAAGAGCUCCCCAUCUCAAGACCUUCCAGCACCAUUUAAGUCAGAGGUUAUGAUAAUAUGUAAUAAACAACAAAAUGAUAACCUGCAAA